CUAGGUACUACAAACGUGGAGCAC
rnacentral:miRNA from 1 species